GAUGAACGCUGGCGGCGUGCCUAAUACAUGCAAGUCGAGCGAACAGACGAGGAGCUUGCUCCUUUGACGUUAGCGGCGGACGGGUGAGUAACACGUAGGAAACCUACCUAUAAGACUGGGAUAACUUCGGGAAACCGGAGCUAAUACCGGAUAAUAUUUCGAACCGCAUGGUUCGAUAGUGAAAGAUGGCUUUGCUAUCACUUAUAGAUGGACCUGCGCCGUAUUAGCUAGUUGGUAAGGUAACGGCUUACCAAGGCAACGAUACGUAGCCGACCUGAGAGGGUGAUCGGCCACACUGGAACUGAGACACGGUCCAGACUCCUACGGGAGGCAGCAGUAGGGAAUCUUCCGCAAUGGGCGAAAGCCUGACGGAGCAACGCCGCGUGAGUGAUGAAGGUCUUCGGAUCGUAAAACUCUGUUAUUAGGGAAGAACAAACGUGUAAGUAACUGUGCACGUCUUGACGGUACCUAAUCAGAAAGCCACGGCUAACUACGUG
rnacentral:rRNA from 1 species